rnacentral:rRNA from 1 species
AGUAGCGCGUGGGUAACCUACCCUGUACACACGGAUAACAUACCGAAAGGUAUGCUAAUACAGGAUAAUAUAUUUGAGAGGCAUCUCUUGAAUAUCAAAGGUGAGCCAGUACAGGAUGGACCCGCGUCUGAUCAGCUAGUUGGUAAGGUAACGGCUUACCAAGGCGACGAUCAGUAGCCGACCUGAGAGGGUGAUCGGCCACAUUGGAACUGAGACACGGUCCAA